UCGUAAUCCAAAGGCUCCAAGAGUUUUGGUUUUUCCCGCUGCUGAAGGCGGCCGCUGGCGGUGGCGGCGGCCGUAGCCGCGCUGUGCCGCAGCUCCGCCGCCUGUCCCGGCCGCAGCAGGCUCCGCGUGAAGCGCCGCGUUCGCUCGCCGGCCAUGGGCGCCGGCACCCCGCGCUGCUGCCGCCGCUCCCCGCCCGGGCCGAGGCGCCGUCAGGAAGCGGAACUGGG
rnacentral:lncRNA from 1 species